UGGGGAAUUUUGGACAAUGGGCGAAAGCCUGAUCCAGCAAUGCCGCGUGUGUGAAGAAGGCCUUCGGGUUGUAAAGCACUUUUGUCCGGAAAGAAAUCCUUGGCUCUAAUACAGUCGGGGGAUGACGGUACCGGAAGAAUAAGCACCGGCUAACUACGCGCCAGCAGCCGCGGUAAUACGUAGGGUGCAAGCGUUAAUCGGAAUUACUGGGCGUAAAGCGUGCGCAGGCGGUUUGCUAAGACCGAUGUGAAAUCCCCGGGCGUCAACCUGGAACUGCAUUGGUGACUGGCAGGCUAGAGUAUGGCAGAGGGGGUGAGAAUUCCACGUGUAGCAGUGAAAUGCGUAGAGAUGUGGAGGAAUACCGAUGGCGAAGGCAGCCCCUGGCAAGUCACUGACGCUCAUGCACGAAAGCGUGGGGAGCAAAC
rnacentral:rRNA from 1 species